UACGUAGGGUGCGAGCGUUGUCCGGAAUUAUUGGGCGUAAAGAGCUCGUAGGCGGUUUGUUGCGUCGGCUGUGAAAACCUACAGCUUAACUGUGGGCGUGCGGUCGAUACGGGCAUCACUGGAGUUCGGCAGGGGAGACUGGAAUUCCUGGUGUAGCGGUGAAAUGCGCAGAUAUCAGGAGGAACACCGGUGGCGAAGGCGGGUCUCUGGGCAUUAACUGACGCUGAGGAGCGAAAGCAUGGGGAGCGAACAGG
rnacentral:rRNA from 1 species